rnacentral:rRNA from 1 species
AGUGAACGCUGGCGGUAGGCCUAACACAUGCAAGUCGAACGGCAGCACAGGAGAGCUUGCUCUCUGGGUGGCGAGUGGCGGACGGGUGAGGAAUACAUCGGAAUCUACUCUGUCGUGGGGGAUAACGUAGGGAAACUUACGCUAAUACCGCAUACGACCUACGGGUGAAAGCAGGGGACCUUCGGGCCUUGCGCGAUUGAAUGAGCCGAUGUCGGAUUAGCUAGUUGGCGGGGUAAAGGCCCACCAAGGCGACGAUCCGUAGCUGGUCUGAGAGGAUGAUCAGCCACACUGGAACUGAGACACGGGCCAUACUCCUACGGGAGGCAGCAGUGGGGAAUAUUGGACAAUGGGCGCAAGCCUGAUCCAGCCGUACCGCGUGGGUGAAGCAGGCCUUCGGGUUGUAAAGCCCUUUUGUUGGGAAAGAAAUCCAGCUGGCUAAUACCCGGUUGGGAUGACGGUACCCAAAGAAUAAGCACCGGCUAACUUCGUGCCAGCAGCCGCGGUAA